rnacentral:rRNA from 1 species
AUUGAACGCUGGCGGCAGGCUUAACACAUGCAAGUCGAGCGGGGUGAUGGUGCUUGCACUAUCACUUAGCGGCGGACGGGUGAGUAAUGCUUAGGAAUCUGCCUAUUAGUGGGGGACAACAUCUCGAAAGGGAUGCUAAUACCGCAUACGUCCUACGGGAGAAAGCAGGGGAUCACUUGUGACCUUGCGCUAAUAGAUGAGCCUAAGUCGGAUUAGCUAGUUGGUGGGGUAAAGGCCUACCAAGGCGACGAUCUGUAGCGGGUCUGAGAGGAUGAUCCGCCACACUGGGACGGAGACACGGCCCAGAAUCAUACGGGAGGCAGCAGUGGGGAAUAUUGGACAAUGGGGGGAACCCUGAUCCAGCCAUGCCGCGUGUGUGAAGAAGGCCUUAUGGUUGUAAAGCACUUUAAGCGAGGAGGAGGCUCUUUUGGUUAAUACCCAAGAUGAGUGGACGUUACUCGCAGAAUAAGCACCGGCUAACUCUGUGCCAGCAGCCGCGGUAA